rnacentral:rRNA from 1 species
GUGCCAGCCGCCGCGGUAAAACGUAGGAGGCAAGCGUUAUCCGGAGUUACUGGGCGUAAAGCGCACGCAGGCGGACUAGUAAGUGGGUCGUGAAAGCGCCCGGCUAAACCGGGCGAGGACGAUUCAGACUGCCGGUCUAGAGUCGGAUAGAGGAGCGCGGAAUUCCGGGUGUAGCGGUGAAAUGUGUAGAGAUCCGGAGGAACACCAGUGGCGCAAGCGGCGCUCUGGGUCCGAACUGACGCUGAGGUGCGAAAGCGUGGGGAGCGAACGGGAUUAGAAACCCUGGUAGUCC